rnacentral:rRNA from 1 species
ACGGAGGGUGCGAGCGUUGUUCGGAAUCACUGGGCGUAAAGGGCGCGCAGGCGGUUUCAUAAGUCAGAUGUGAAAGCCCACGGCUUAACCGUGGAAGUGCAUUUGAAACUGUGAGACUUGAGUACCAGAGGGGAAGGUGGAAUUCCCGGUGUAGAGGUGAAAUUCGUAGAUAUCGGGAGGAAUACCGGUGGCGAAGGCGACUUUCUGGCUGGAUACUGACGCUGAGGCGCGAAAGCGUGGGGAGCAAACAGG